rnacentral:tRNA from 1 species
GCAGAAUAGCUCAGUCAGUAGAGCAUGAGACUCUUAAUCUCACGGUUGUGGGUUUGAGCCUCUCGUUGGGUA